rnacentral:rRNA from 1 species
GCCCCAUGCCCAGAUAAGAUGACGGCAUUGGAGAAAUCAGUCCGCGUCUUUGCCGAGGCCCCUAGGGAGAAUGUCAUUGUACCAAACUUAGGGGUCACUUUUGAUACACUAGGCGAGACCUAUGAUUUCUACAAUACGUAUUCAUGGAAGAAAGGAUCCGGAAUUCGAUAUGAGAAGAGUAGGCUAAAUGUCAAUCGGACAAGAUGCGUGGUAUGCUUCCGUUUGUUGAAACCUUUUACAAUAUGCAUAUCUGUUUUUAGAUUGUCUGCACUUGUUUAG